CACCGCCCACUGCCCGAUGUGCUCUCGAUUGAGGAGGGGGAUGGAGAAGCUAGGGAAGAAUAAGAGGUGCCCUUUUGUUGUGCAGUAGAUGCAGCCAACAAAGUACCAAAGAGAAAAAUGGGAUUCGAUCAAGUUUUUGGUGGAGGGGAGGGCAUUACUGAUACAUGAUAUGAAUAAUAUUUAACAUUUGGCAAUCUAGGAGAGUUAU
rnacentral:lncRNA from 1 species